GCAUAUCAAUAAGCGGAGGAAAAGAAACCAACAGGGAUUGCCUUAGUAACGGCGAGUGAAGCGGCAAAAGCUCAAAUUUGAAAUCCAGUGCCUCCGGCGCUCGAGUUGUAAUUUGAAGAUAGUUUUCUGGCACUGGCCCUUGUCUAUGUUCCUUGGAACAGGACGUCAUAGAGGGUGAGAAUCCCGUCUGAUGGGGUGUCCAGUUGCCGUGUAGAUUUCUAUCGAAGAGUCGAGUUGUUUGGGAAUGCAGCUCUAAGUGGGUGGUAAAUUCCAUCUAAAGCUAAAUACUGGCGAGAGACCGAUAGCGAACAAGUACAGUGAUGGAAAGAUGAAAAGAACUUUGAAAAGAGAGUGAAAAAGUACGUGAAAUUGUUGAAAGGGAAGGGUAUUGGAUCAGACUUGGUGUUUUGCGAUUAUCAGCUCCUUGUGGGCUGUGCACUCGCAUCUCACUGGGCCAGCAUCGGUUUUGGCGGCAGGAUAAUGGUUAGGGGAACGUGGCUCUCUCGAGAGUGUUAUAGCCCCCAGCUGAUACUGCCUGCCGGGACCGAGGACUGCGGCUUUUGCCUAGGAUGCUGGCGUAAUGAUCCAACACCGCCCGUCUUGAAACACGGACCAAGGAGUCUAACGUCUAUGCGAGUGUUUGGGUGUAAAACCCGUACGCGGAAUGAAAGUGAACGUAGGUGAGGGCUCGCAAGAGUGCAUCAUCGACCGAUCCUGAUGUCUUCGGAUGGAUUUGAGUAAGAGCAUAGCUGUUGGGACCCGAAAGAUGGUGAACUAUGCCUGAAUAGGGUGAAGCCAGAGGAAACUCUGGUGGAGGCUCGUAGCGGUUCUGACGUGCAAAUCGAUCGUCGAAUUUGGGUAUAGGGGCGAAAGACUAAUCGAACCAUCUAGUAGCUGGGUCUGC
rnacentral:rRNA from 1 species